rnacentral:tRNA from 1 species
UAAAAGGUCGGGAAGCUCAGU